rnacentral:rRNA from 1 species
GAUGAACGCUGGCGGCGUGCCUAAUACAUGCAAGUCGAGCGAACGGACGAGAAGCUUGCUUCUCUGAUGUUAGCGGCGGACGGGUGAGUAACACGUGGAUAACCUACCUAUAAGACUGGGAUAACUUCGGGAAACCGUAGCUAAUACCGGAUAAUAUUUUGAACCGCAUGGUUCAAAAGUUAAAGACGGUCUUGCUGUCACUUAUAGAUGGAUCCGCGCUGCAUUAGCUAGUUGGUAAGGUAACGGCUUACCAAGGCAACGAUGCAUAGCCGACCUGAGAGGGUGAUCGGCCACACUGGAACUGAGACACGGUCCAGACUCCUACGGGAGGCAGCAGUAGGGAAUCUUCCGCAAUGGGCGAAAGCCUGACGGAGCAACGCCGCGUGAGUGAUGAAGGUCUUCGGAUCGUAAAACUCUGUUAUUAGGGAAGAACAUAUGUGUAAGUAACUGUGCACAUCUUGACGGUACCUAAUCAGAAAGCCACGGCUAACUACGUG